GACGAACGCUGGCGGCGUGCUUAACACAUGCAAGUCGAACGGAAAGGCCCUGCUUUUGUGGGGUGCUCGAGUGGCGAACGGGUGAGUAACACGUGAGUAACCUGCCCUUGACUUUGGGAUAACUUCAGGAAACUGGGGCUAAUACCGGAUAGGAGCUCCUGCUGCAUGGUGGGGGUUGGAAAGUUUCGGCGGUUGGGGAUGGACUCGCGGCUUAUCAGCUUGUUGGUGGGGUAGUGGCUUACCAAGGCUUUGACGGGUAGCCGGCCUGAGAGGGUGACCGGCCACAUUGGGACUGAGAUACGGCCCAGACUCCUACGGGAGGGAGCAGUGGGGAAUAUUGCACUAUGGGCGGAAGCCUGAUGCAGCAACGCCGCGUGCGGGAUGACGGCCUUCGGGUUGUAAACCGCUUUCGCCUGUGACGAAGCGUGAGUGACGGUAAUGGGUAAAGAAGCACCGGCUAACUACGUG
rnacentral:rRNA from 1 species